rnacentral:rRNA from 1 species
GACGUAGGGCGCGAGCGUUGUCCGGAUUUAUUGGGCGUAAAGAGCUCGUAGGCGGCUUGUCGCGUCGACUGUGAAAACUCGGGGCUCAACUCCGAGCUUGCAGUCGAUACGGGCAGGCUAGAGUUCGGUAGGGGAGGACUGGAAUUCCUGGUGUAGCGGUGAAAUGCGCAGAUAUCAGGAGGAACACCGGUGGCGAAGGCGGGUCUCUGGGCCGAUACUGACGCUGAGGAGCGAAAGCGUGGGUAGCGAACAGG